GGCGAGCCCGACCCCGCUCUUAAGGUCCAGACCGCGAUCCAAUGCGUGAGGGUCGCUUCCAUGCUCGCGGAGCUCCGUUCGUUUCCCCGCCGGAUCACCGCGCCGGCGGCGCAGGCGGUGGCGGACCGUCCGGUGAUUCUCCCUUUUUUCCUCCUUUUUGUACGGUUUGUUUGCGUUCUUUUGGAACCCUAAGCAUCCGAUGGCAACGAUUCUUCGUUUUCACUUAAGAUUUCAACCAGGAGAGUGAGGAUUCGCGGAGCUACGCUGCGGAUCUUAGGGCGACGCUGGUUGCGGAGCGUGCGAGGAGGAGGAGAUUGGAGCGCCUCGUUGGACAGGAGGUAAUGCUUCAUGUUGUUCUUUUGGCGAUGAUGUUGUGCUUCUCCUUGUUUCUUCUUUUGAUCUGAUGGAGCUGAUUUAGAGAUUUCAGUUAGGGUUAAAUUUUGGGUUGUGAUUAGGUUCUUGAACUUGAUCGGAACUGCAUAGUGUGAGAAAAAUGGGAAAUUGAUGACAAAGGUACAAGGCGAUGCUGAUUUGAUUGGAAGGUUUGCAAAGAAUUGUGUGAGAUGAUUGGGAUGUAUGUUCAAAUCUUGUUUUUUAAUAAAAGAU
rnacentral:lncRNA from 1 species